UACGAAGGGGGCUAGCGUUGUUCGGCCUUACUGGGCGUAAAGCGCACGCAGGCGGAUUUAUAAGUCAGGGGUGAAAUCCCGGGGCUCAACCUCGGAAUUGCCUUUGAUACUGUCUAUCUUGAGUCCGGGAGAGGUGAGUGGAAUUCCUAGUGUAGAGGUGAAAUUCGUAGAUAUUAGGAAGAACACCAGUGGCGAAGGCGGCUCACUGGCCCGGUACUGACGCUCAUGUGCGAAAGCGUGGGGAGCAAACAGG
rnacentral:rRNA from 1 species